UACGGGGGGGCAAGCGUUGUUCGGAAUUACUGGGCGUAAAGGGUUCGUAGGUGGCCAACGUUAAGUCAGACGUGAAAUCCCUCAGCUUGAACUGGGAACUGCGUCUGAUACUGGUUGGCUUGAGUGCAGGAGAGGAACGCGGAAUUCCAGGUGUGAGCGGUGAAAUGACGUAGAUAUCUGGAGGAAUACCGGUGGCGAAGGCGGCAGUCCUGGACCGAGGAUUGACACUGAGGAG
rnacentral:rRNA from 1 species